rnacentral:tRNA from 1 species
GGAUUUGUGCCUGAAUUAAAGGACCACUUUGAUAGAGUGAACUAUGAGGGUUAAAAUCCCUCCAACUCCU